AACGAACGCUGGCGGCAGGCCUAACACAUGCAAGUCGAACGCCCCGCAAGGGGAGUGGCAGACGGGUGAGUAACGCGUGGGAAUCUACCCAGAUCUACGGAACAACAGUUGGAAACGACUGCUAAUACCGUAUACGCCCUACGGGGGAAAGAUUUAUCGGAUUUGGAUGAGCCCGCGUUGGAUUAGCUAGUUGGUGGGGUAAUGGCCUACCAAGGCGACGAUCCAUAGCUGGUCUGAGAGGAUGAUCAGCCACACUGGGACUGAGACACGGCCCAGACUCCUACGGGAGGCAGCAGUGGGGAAUAUUGGACAAUGGCGCAAGCCUGAUCCAGCCAUGCCGCGUGAGUGAUGAAGGCCUUAGGGUUGUAAAGCUCUUUCACCGAUGAAGAUAAUGACGGUAGUCGGAGAAGAAGCCCCGGCUAACUUCGUGCCAGCCGCCGCGGUAACAC
rnacentral:rRNA from 1 species